AGUUGCCAGAAUGCUGCAACUAAGAGAGGGUGGAACAAUGGAAAGGUAGCAGGAAGGAACAGUGUCACCCAGUACAAAUGUCAAACACUGGAUCCUGGUGUAAUUAAAGCUGGGCCCUCAGGAGAUGUGGCAGAGGCUUACAAUGGUGCCACCACCCUGUACAUUACUCACCUGGUGCCUGUCAGGUGACACCUCAGCGUGAACAGGAAUAUCGCCUGACACCAUAGAAACACUGUCCUCUGAUUCAGGACUCACCAAUGGGGAAGUUAAAAAUUAACCAUGGCAUUUAUGCUACCCCUACGCACACCUUCAGACUUCAGAAAUGUCUCCUGGCAGAGGCCUCUUUGGCCUGAUGGUACUGUACCCUUCAUAGAGUUAUUAUUUUAUGGUUUUAUUUUUUCACAGCAAACAGCAACUACAGAAAGGCUGAGUAGUAGGGCCAAGGCUAUCUUUUGCCCAGUGUCCUGGGACUCUGGGGUAUUGUGAUAGCCCCAGAAAGUGAGCAGCCCUUCAGUGACUGGACUUCUAGAAUCUGCCUCGCCUGCCCUCCAGCUUCCCUGAGACCCUUCUGACCAGGGUAUGUUUACUUCCUCACAGCCACUUUUACUUCUAGAGUUGUAGCCCCAAGAAGGAUGUCAAAUAAGGGAACGAAACACCCUCCAGAGAGAUACCUCCAAAGCUCACCUAUAGAUGUCAACCUCUGCCAGUCCUUUGGGAUGAGGUCAUGAAUGCCUUUCUCCAAUGGAAAGCUUUGCCUUCUGCAGUUCGUGAGUCAGUUGUGACAUGGACAGCAUAUAGUCCUUCAACCUCAGCCUGCUCACUGGUGGGAUAUGGACCUAUUCGAGUCUGCUGCCUCAAAUAUAUGGGCCAUCAUUAUCCUAAGUGCCUGCACACCUACCCACCCCUGACCUGCCUGCCCUGCUCAGGAUUAACUCAGUCUGGAAGGCUUAGCUUGGCUUUUGCUUUGUUUUCUUCCAUUUGUUCAUCCACUAACCAUUAGGUGCAUGCAUAUUCAUAUCAGGCACUACUCUUGGCACCCAGAUACAGACAUAGACAUAAGAGCAGGCCCUGCCUCACAGAGCCCACAGUCCAGCUCUGCCUACCCCUGGGCUUCGGGCAGGGCUCAAAGCCCACUUUGUUGGCUGGGACUCUGCUGUGGAGGAAUGAAUGCCUAGAACCUCAUGGUCAAGGCUUUGGCUGACUCUCCUAAUUUGUCAAUUAGACCCCUGCUGAUAUGGACGCCUGUCUAUAUCUCACACUAGUGUGCCUUUCUCUUUUCUUCUGGAUCCUCUGCGUGGGCCUCCCCAAAUCCAUGUGGUCGACUGACAUCUCCCCACCCUGGACCCUGUCUGGUCCUGGUUUCUUCCACUAGUACACCACUCUGUUCUUGAAAUGUCAGCUGUAGCCAAUUCCACCUGAGUAAUGACAGGAUGGAAGAAUCAAGUCACCCUCACUGCCCCAGUCCUUCAUAACUAGGAACAUUUUUAUUCAAUAUGUUCUUAAAGCAUCUUGUCUGAAAUGUGUCACAAUUAAAAACAGGAGCCUUUUAAACA